UACGUAGGGGGCAAGCGUUGUCCGGAAUCAUUGGGCGUAAAGCGCGUGUAGGCGGUCCGAUUAGUCGGCUGUGAAAGUCAAGGGCUCAACCCUUGAAUGCCGGUCGAUACUGUCGGACUAGAGUCCGGAAGAGGCAAGUGGAAUUCCUGGUGUAGCGGUGAAAUGCGCAGAUAUCAGGAAGAACACCCGUGGCGAAGGCGGCUCUCUGGGACGGUACUGACGCUGAGACGCGAAAGCGUGGGGAGCGAACAGG
rnacentral:rRNA from 1 species